CGAUUGCCUAGGGAUUACCCUUGCCACACUCUCUUAUUCAAGGGGAAUGAAGAUUCACUCACCAGAAAACUUCAGAAAGAUGCCCACUGCUAGCUUCCCUGUGGCAGCUGUUCCGGGUUAGAAACUCGGAGUUGCGGGAAGUUGAAACAUGGGACCCAUUACAAAAAGCUUCUGAGGACAAAACUCUUUAGGUGCAGGGUUGCUUUUCCGCACAGUGAGUGUACCUAUGAGGCUUUGUAUCUGGAUAAAAGUUUGACUUCUCUUUUCUUUCCAGUAAGAAAUUUAUCUCAAUUUGUAUA